UUAAGUGACUAAGCGUACACGGUGGAUGCCCUGGCAGUCAGAGGCGAUGAAGGACGUGCUAAUCUGCGAAAAGCGUCGGUAAGGUGAUAUGAACCGUUAUAACCGGCGAUGUCCGAAUGGGGAAACCCAGUGCAAUUCGUUGCACUAUCGUUAACUGAAUACAUAGGUUAACGAGGCGAACCGGGGGAACUGAAACAUCUAAGUACCCCGAGGAAAAGAAAUCAACCGAGAUUCCCCCAGUAGCGGCGAGCGAACGGGGAGCAGCCCAGAGUCUGAAUCAGCUUGUGUGUUAGUGGAACGGUCUGGAAAGUCCGACGGUACAGGGUGAUAGUCCCGUACACCAAAAUGCACAGGNUGUGAACUCGAAGAGUAGGGCGGGACACGUGGUAUCCUGUCUGAAUAUGGGGGGACCAUCCUCCAAGGCUAAAUACUCCUGACUGACCGAUAGUGAACCAGUACCGUGAGGGAAAGGCGAAAAGAACCCCGGCGAGGGGAGUGAAAAAGAACCUGAAACCGUGUACGUACAAGCAGUGGGAGCACCUUCGGGUGUGACUGCGUACCUUUUGUAUAAUGGGUCAGCGACUUAUAUUCUGUAGCAAGGUUAACCGUAUAGGGGAGCCGCAGGGAAACCGAGUCUUAACUGGGCGUUAAGUUGCAGGGUAUAGACCCGAAACCCGGUGAUCUAGCCAUGGGCAGGUUGAAGGUUGGGUAACACUAACUGGAGGACCGAACCGACUAAUGUUGAAAAAUUAGCGGAUGACUUGUGGCUGGGGGUGAAAGGCCAAUCAAACCGGGAGAUAGCUGGUUCUCCCCGAAAGCUAUUUAGGUAGCGCCUCGUGAANUCAUCUUCGGGGGUAGAGCACUGUUUCGGCUAGGGGGUCAUCCCGACUUACCAACCCGAUGCAAACUACGAAUACCGAAGAAUGUUAUCACGGGAGACACACGGCGGGUGCUAACGUCCGUCGUGAAGAGGGAAACAACCCAGACCGCCAGCUAAGGUCCCAAAGUCAUGGUUAAGUGGGAAACGAUGUGGGAAGGCACAGACAGCCAGGAUGUUGGCUUAGAAGCAGCCAUCAUUUAAAGAAAGCGUAAUAGCUCACUGGUCGAGUCGGCCUGCGCGGAAGAUGUAACGGGGCUAAACCAUGCACCGAAGCUGCGGCAGCGACACUAUGUGUUGUUGGGUAGGGGAGCGUUCUGUAAGCCUGCGAAGGUGUGCUGUGAGGCAUGCUGGAGGUAUCAGAAGUGCGAAUGCUGACAUAAGUAACGAUAAAGCGGGUGAAAAGCCCGCUCGCCGGAAGACCAAGGGUUCCUGUCCAACGUUAAUCGGGGCAGGGUGAGUCGACCCCUAAGGCGAGGCCGAAAGGCGUAGUCGAUGGGAAACAGGUUAAUAUUCCUGUACUUGGUGUUACUGCGAAGGGGGGACGGAGAAGGCUAUGUUAGCCGGGCGACGGUUGUCCCGGUUUAAGCAUGUAGGCUGNUCCAGGCAAAUCCGGAUAAUCAAGGCUGAGGUGUGAUGACGAGGCACUACGGUGCUGAAGUAACAAAUGCCCUGCUUCCAGGAAAAGCCUCUAAGCAUCAGGUAACAUCAAAUCGUACCCCAAACCGACACAGGUGGUCAGGUAGAGAAUACCAAGGCGCUUGAGAGAACUCGGGUGAAGGAACUAGGCAAAAUGGUGCCGUAACUUCGGGAGAAGGCACGCUGGUGUGUAGGUGAAGUCCCUGCGGAUGGAGCUGAGACCAGUCGAAGAUACCAGCUGGCUGCAACUGUUUAUUAAAAACACAGCACUGUGCAAACACGAAAGUGGACGUAUACGGUGUGACGCCUGCCCGGUGCCGGAAGGUUAAUUGAUGGGGUUAUCCGUAAGGAGAAGCUCUUGAUCGAAGCCCCGGUAAACGGCGGCCGUAACUAUAACGGUCCUAAGGUAGCGAAAUUCCUUGUCGGGUAAGUUCCGACCUGCACGAAUGGCGUAAUGAUGGCCAGGCUGUCUCCACCCGAGACUCAGUGAAAUUGAACUCGCUGUGAAGAUGCAGUGUACCCGCGGCAAGACGGAAAGACCCCGUGAACCUUUACUAUAGCUUGACACUGAACAUUGAGCCUUGAUGUGUAGGAUAGGUGGGAGGCUUUGAAGCGUGGACGCCAGUCUGCGUGGAGCCAACCUUGAAAUACCACCCUUUAAUGUUUGAUGUUCUAACGUUGGCCCCUGACCGGGGUUGCGGACAGUGUCUGGUGGGUAGUUUGACUGGGGCGGUCUCCUCCCAAAGCGUAACGGAGGAGCACGAAGGUUAGCUAAUCCUGGUCGGACAUCAGGAGGUUAGUGCAAUGGCAUAAGCUAGCUUGACUGCGAGCGUGACGGCGCGAGCAGGUGCGAAAGCAGGUCAUAGUGAUCCGGUGGUUCUGAAUGGAAGGGCCAUCGCUCAACGGAUAAAAGGUACUCCGGGGAUAACAGGCUGAUACCGCCCAAGAGUUCAUAUCGACGGCGGUGUUUGGCACCUCGAUGUCGGCUCAUCACAUCCUGGGGCUGAAGUAGGUCCCAAGGGUAUGGCUGUUCGCCAUUUAAAGUGGUACGCGAGCUGGGUUUAGAACGUCGUGAGACAGUUCGGUCCCUAUCUGCCGUGGGCGCUGGAGAAUUGAGGGGGGCUGCUCCUAGUACGAGAGGACCGGAGUGGACGCAUCACUGGUGUUCGGGUUGUCAUGCCAAUGGCACUGCCCGGUAGCUAAAUGCGGAAGAGAUAAGUGCUGAAAGCAUCUAAGCACGAAACUUGCCCCGAGAUGAGUUCUCCCUGAGACUUUAAGUCUCCUGAAGGAACGUUAAAGACGAUGACGUUGAUAGGCCGGGUGUGUAAGCGCAGCGAUGCGUUGAGCUAACCGGUACUAAUGAACCGUGAGGCUUAACCUU
rnacentral:rRNA from 1 species